UGGGGAAUAUUNGACAAUGGGCGCAAGCUGAUCCAGCCAUGCCGCGUGUGUNAAGAAGGCUUUCGGGUUGUAAAGCACUUUCAGUGGGGAAGAAGGCUUACCGAUCAAUACCCGGYAAGAAGGACAUCACCCACAGAAGAAGCACCGGCUAACUCCGU
rnacentral:rRNA from 1 species